GGAAAUAUAUUUAAAGUAAGUGAGGCGUCCUUAUGAAAAUUUCUAAACCGGCAUAUAUGGUUUUGCUCGUUGUUGGCUUGGUUUUUGUUUUUUUAGGACUAUCUAAUAUCGGAAUUUCUAUUUUUUGGGAUUUUAGCGACUUAGAGAAUUUGAUGGUUGGUAGCUUAUUGAUCAUCAUUGGGCUCAUCACACUUAGAGUUCGGUAUUCAUUUAAAAAAAGAGAAUAAAAAGGCACUGCAAUUUGAUUUUGCAGUGCUUUUUUA
rnacentral:ncRNA from 22 species